AAACCAGCUCCUCGAGGGGUCCCCACGCAUACUGGGCCUAAAGCGUCCGUAGCCGGCCCCGCAAGUCCUCGGUUAAAUCCACCGGAAGACCGGUGGGCUGCCGGGGAUACUGCGGGGCUAGGGAGCGGGAGGGGCCGGGGGUAUUCCGGGGGGAGCGGUAAAAUGCGUAGAUCCCCGGAGGACCACCGGUGGCGAAGGCGCCCGGCUGGAACGCGUCCGACGGUGAGGGACGAAAGCUGGGGGAGCAAACCGGAUUAGAAACCCUAGUAGUCC
rnacentral:rRNA from 1 species